rnacentral:rRNA from 1 species
AGUGAACGCUGGCGGUAGGCCUAACACAUGCAAGUCGGACGGCAGCACAGUAAGAGCUUGCUCUUACGGGUGGCGAGUGGCGGACGGGUGAGGAAUACAUCGGAAUCUACUUUUUCGCGGGGGAUAACGUAGGGAAACUUACGCUAAUACCGCAUACGACCUACGGGUGAAAGCAGGGGAUCUUCGGACCUUGCGCGAUUGAAUGAGCCGAUGUCGGAUUAGCUAGUUGGCGGGGUAAAGGCCCACCAAGGCGACGAUCCGUAGCUGGUCUGAGAGGAUGAUCAGCCACACUGGAACUGAGACACGGUCCAGACUCCUACGGGAGGCAGCAGUGGGGAAUAUUGGACAAUGGGCGCAAGCCUGAUCCAGCCAUACCGCGUGGGUGAAGAAGGCCUUCGGGUUGUAAAGCCCUUUUGUUGGGAAAGAAAAGCAGCAGGUUAAUACCCCGCUGUUCUGACGGUACCCAAAGAAUAAGCACCGGCUAACUUCGU